UUUUAGUGAUCUCUAGAGGGGCGCCGAGAUUGCCUCUCCGUACUACUAGAAGCUUCAUUUUCUUCAGCUUUCCUUGGUUCUCCCCUGUUCGUCAGCGUCGCGACGCGUCUCAUCCCGGGAUACGUUGUACAGGUCGGCUUGGACCAUGACGGAGGAAAAAUGGGAUUACCUGAACGAGAAAUGGGAGCACAUAGACCAGCCGAUAAAUGUGUAAUUCUUCAUCGUUUUGCCCUAUUUUUUCGUUAGAAUGUAGUAUAGAUGGAUUUGCUCUGCGUUUGACGAGUAUACACUUUACUUGAAUAAUAACUUAAUAGCAGAGACUUGUUUUCCACAUCUGGAUAAAGAAAAUGAUGGAAAAGAAAGCGAAGGAGUGAAAAGUCAACGCUUUGUUAACAGAAAUAGAUCUCUACUGGACAAUUAAAACCAUGAUCCUUUAACAAUUACUUUAACAAGUAACAGUUAUUUUAACAAAUUUGUAUAAGUCGACUACAAAGAAGAUAAGAGAAAAAGAGAUAAGAAAGGAUGUCUUGACUACAAAGAAAACAAGGGAGAAGCUGGCAAGAAAGAAGAUCAAAAGGAACGUCAAAGAAGAAGUCAAGAGUAAAGUCAAAGAAGAAGAAGAAGUCAACAGAUGUCACAUUGUUAAGAGCUAUAGAUUUCCAUUAGCUGGUACGUAACGCGUUCAGAUG